AUUUUGAUUGGUCAGGGUCGGUUUUGCCUCUUUUUGCUGGGAGUGGGGUGGGGGGCUACUGGAAUGAGAACAGGAUGGAAAGAAGCCAAAGGCGUUGUUCCUGCCAGUGUGAUGGGUAUGGGUUGGUAUAGGAGGGUUGGGGGCAGUGGUCCUUCUCAGCAGUAGUGUGCUUGACUGUGUGCUGUUUUGGACUGUGCACGUGAGCAUGCUUGCAUGCAGAGCAAGUGGGUAGUGCCUGCUCCGUUUGCUCUUGACUCCUCCGGCACUUCGAUGUGCCACUCAGGCUGCCUUCAAGCAGAGAAGCACUUUGUUCUGUCAUCCGAUGCACAACAUAUACAAGCAGAGAGCAGCAUUGCGAGAGCAGAACAUCGCUGGAGGCCAGAACCUGCUUAGACCACCACAGACUGAGAAGAAGUAGGAGCUUUUCUGGAUUAUGGUUGUGGAUUGAGGAAUGCUGUGACAGAAAAAGAACAAACAUUUGAGGGGGAAAGUCAAUUGUUCAAGCCAUGCCUCAUUUCUUGGAUUGGUUUGUGCCAAUGUAUUUGAUGAUCUCAAUUCUGAUCUUGGUGGGCUUUGGCGCCUGCAUAUACUACUUUGAGCCAGGACUACAGGAAGCACACAAAUGGAGGACGCAACGGCCAAUCAUGGAACGAGACCUUCGGAAAACAUUGAUGAUACGAGAUAACCUUGCAUUUGGAGUGCCUGAAGUUUAGAAUCUUGCUCUCACAUAAGAAUGUGAAAGUAUCUGUAAUAUACAAAGUCCAUUUUCUUUUUCAGGUUACAAUGAGAGCUAGCUCAGGGUUUUUUUCAACUGCAAGGAUGUGGUCAAACCAAAACUUCCUUUCUUGCUGACAUGAAUUUCCUUUAAAAGUAUACUUUGUUGUCAUAUAUACAGUACUUCUAAGGCAAGGCUUCUAGACUGAUGUCAUCUCAAAACACAUGUUUUCUGUCCUUAAACAACUGCCCUAAAGAUUGAGACGUUUUUUCAGUUGGAAUUUUUGACCCUUCAUAAUUAAUAUUUUCUGUUAGCUUGGUGGGAAUGGUCAGAUUUUUACAAAAACCUUUGUCUUUCCCAGGAAUAUACUAUGUUUUGCUGUAAAUGUGAUCUGAAGUCAUUGCUUGACUGCCUCCUAAACAAGUGUCCACCUCACAAAGAUCACUCUUGCCACUAUUUCAUUGCUUCAAGUCUCUCAGUUGAGUGCAAAUCUCAGAAUUGAUUGAUUACACAGACCAAAUUCCCUUCUGACAUCCAUCAUUGAGUUUCAAUAUAUUUAAUGGCACAUUUUGUGAAGCUUAUUCAUUGUCUAUACAUACAUUUGGAUUUUGGGGAGUUUCAGUGCUCAAAAGCUCUCUGCCUCAAAAUUCAUUCACUAAAAAUCACUUUAGGAUUAACUAUGCUAAUUAAAUAUCAAUAAGGAUGCAGGGGGCUUUAUGAUUUAUUGGGGCUUUUGUUGCGAGCAUGAGAUGUAUUUUUUUUUAGACUUGUGUGAUCUAGAACCCUACAGUGGGAAAAGCACUUUUUCAAUCCUUUUCUGCAGCAGUCUUCUGAAGAGGCCUAUCAGGUGUAUCCUCUCAGUCCCUGUUUAUGUUUUUAGACAAAUCAUCAAAACAUCUAACUGUGAAGUAUCUUCACACAACCUACCUUUCUGCAUGCCUGCUAAAAGGGACUAUGAUGCAAGCUGUGACCAUGUAGUUCCAACCACUAACUAUUCUUCUGGAUCUCUGUUAUAUAGGGUGUUUAUGAGGUAGUUUUGUUUUUUUAUCCCUACAGAGUGUUUGCACUUUGAUCCAUGCUUCCUAUAGGGGAGUUGCAUUGCCAAAGGGAAAACGGACUCACCUGUAAUCCCAACUAUACUGUUUAUAGUGUGUAGACAGCCUACUAAUAAUAUUGGCAAAAUCGAGAACCUAUGACAGGGGCAGACAAAUGUGACUUUCCAGAAGUUGUUGGAUUGCAAUGCCCAACAUUCCAGUUCAGCAUCCUCUGAUGGGCCAUAGUUUCCCACCCUUGACCUAUGGCAUGGAGAGCGUCUCUAGCCCCUGUCCUCUUUGACUGCAAAGUAGAAUUUAUACUCUCCGGCACAGUGUGACAUGUUCCAUUGUUAUAAAGUAAUAAUGUUCUAGUCUUGUGAUAAGCAGCUCUAUGUGUAUACAUUCCAUUUUAGGGUAGGGACUUGUGUCUUUACUUCUCCACUAUGCUCAUGCAUACACAUUCCAUAAGAAGGUAACAGGCAUUGAUGCCAUAAAAAGUAACAUUUCACUAUUUUUCAGACAAUCCCCAAAUUUCACUCUGCCCUCAGUACCAGAGACAUAUCUUUACACUGGGUGCUUCACCCUGAAUGCAAACACUCCUAUAGCACAUCAUUUUUCUCUGUCUCCCAUAUUAUCCUGCCAUAUCUAGGUGCUGCCUUCCCAUAUACUUCAAUACAUUCCACUGAGUCUAUUGUUUCAUUCUGUGCCAUAGUCCAUGAUGGUCCACAUACUAUCACAGGAACCUGGAAGCCUACUGGAAACAUACUCAGUUAUUUAUCAUGUCUUUUCAGUCAGCUCACAAUGAAUUGUUUGUAGGAUAAAAUUGUUUGCCCAAUGAUUACUCUUGCCUGAAAAUGGAUGCUUUGUUCUCUCAGCAGCUACUCAGUUGGAGUAUAGUAUAUUGCAUGUUGUGGUGUAUGAGUUGUAGUAAGUAACUGCCAAAAGACACCGCUUACAUUGGCAAAUGCCGUUUUUAGCACAAAAAGGGGAAAUAUUGUUUUUUUGUGGGGUAAGUCUUUUGGCCAUGCAGGUGUAAAGAUCAUAUCACAUCAAAACUUCUAUGGAAUUUAUUUUCCUUUGGAUAGGCAAACAGACCGUGAGAGAAAACAUCAGUUUCUAAGAUGGUUAAAACAGUAGGAUGAUUUACACCAUAGAUUUUGACUAAAAUUUGGAAAUGUUACUUUGAGGCCAGUAACUCCCAGAAGCCCUCAGCUAGUAUGGCCAGCCACUAACUAAGCUUUCUGGGAAGUUUAGCCUAAAAUCUAACACUCCAAGCUAUAAACAGAAAAAUACAUUCCACUAUGGAUUUUAAUGAAAUAUGUGUCAUUUUGAGCACCUAAAAAUUCAAUUUAUUCCUAAUAUUGUUCAGUUAGUUGUUUGCUGGCCUCAACUGAGAAGUCCUUGCAUGUAGCAACAGGCUCUCCAAGAAGCAGCCUUUCUAUUAAGCAAAAUAAGCACCAACCCUUGGAUGACAUAUAAAUGACAAACUGUCAUUUAUUUAUACUGAGUGUGCAUAUGUCCAUGUAUGUAUUGGAUUUCUUCUUAGUCACCAAAACAUCACAGAGCAUUUGAGUGGCAUUCUGUGAUACAUAAAGAUCAGAUGGUACUGCCACAGUUAACCUUCUGUUUAUUGAGUGCAUGUAUGAAUCUGAUCCAGUACUGGGCCUUGAGUUCCUCUGUAUAAGUAUGAUAGAUAUCUCAACUAUAUGCAAUAUAGUUGAAGUGACAAUGUGAAUUAAACUAAAAAGAGGAAUGCACACAUGCCUGUUUUAGCUUGUUUUUCUCCCGACAAGCAAAGAUAUAUAGAUUGCGGUAUGUGUUUGAUGUGUUUCUUUCAUUGUGUGGAAAAGAAAUAAGAAUGCCAGUGUUAAACACCACAGAAAGCAAGCCAUUGAUGUAAGGUUUGUCUAGCCAGUCAUUUUCUUAGUGGGAACAACUAGCAGGUGCAUAAGUAGUAAAGGUAAAGGUUUCCCCUGACGUUAUGCCCAUGGGGGUUGGUGCUCAUCUUCAUUUCUAAGCCGAAGAGCCAGCGUUGUCCGUAGACGCCACCUAGGUCAUGUGGCUGGCAUGACUGCAUGGAGUGCCGUUAACUUCCCGCCGGAGCGGUUCCUAUUGAACUCACAUUUGCAUGUUUUCGAACUGCUAUGUUGGCAGACUAUGUAAUUCAUUAUUCCAAUGUGUUCUGGAUUACUGUUCAGUCUGAGUAUGCCCUAUGAAAAGGCAGCAUUGUCGGGUUCUAAGAUGAUAUUCUGCUCCUUAUCAUGAAUAGAAAUGAAUGACCAUCCAUCUGUGUCCAUGACCAAUUACUUGGUACUUCUAAUAUAGCCAUAGUCUCUGAGUGUCACUUGGAGACCUGUUUUCUGGGCCUUGAUUUCUUCUGUGAUGACUAGAUUACCAAUGCAAAUAAAGGGACCCCAGGCUGUGCAAUGGGGCAGCAAUAAGUAUUCUUUAUAAAAGUUUUAUUAGAGUUUUAUGACUUUGUGAACGAGCUACAUUGUUAUUUGACGCUCCAUGUUGUUCUUCUUAUUUUGGAGGGGAAAAACUCAUUACACAAUGUUUUUGCACUAAUAACACUUUAUUUUUCUCAUGUUUGAAGGUUCUUUUCUCAGGGCUGCAUCACAUGGUGAUAAUGAGAGGGGAGAAAGUAUGUUUGCAGUAUGGCCACUAUAUUGAUUGUACUGCAAAUAUUAUUUCUUAUAAUUAAAGUAAUUCUCACUAUAAAAUGAUUUAUGUCAUGUCAUCCCUUAGCUGUAAGCUUUUUGCAGAUAUAGUGAUUUCACUAAAACUUCAGAAUAUAUCCUGCAUUAGUCACAGAGUACUGAUAUACACUAUUGGUAGUGAUGUAUUGUACAAUAUAAGAAAACAAUGUCCCAGACUCAGUUGUUAGUCCCAGCUUUCCCAUUAAAUCACUGGAAAUUAUGCCGGUUAACACUUAUCUAAACUUUAUUGAUUGGAUGGGUUUUCUAUUGAUGUUGUGUGCCUUCAAAUCAUUUAUAACUUAAUGGCAACCUUAAGACUGUCAUAAGUUAGAGUUUUCUUGUCAACUUUUGGACAGAGGAGGUUACCUUUGCAAGUGCUCAAACCACUACAUUGUGCUGUCUUGGGUCUGCCAUAUGUGGAAGUAAAUUGAAAUUCGACUUUAGCCAGGUGUCCAGACAUUAAUAGAAAAGAAACCAGCUGCUUAAAGUACAUGUCUGCAAAUAGGAAUGUCAAAUUUUUGUUUCAACCAUGAGCUUCAUCUUCUCAUGAAGUUUCGAACCACAACUUUCUUCAAAAUUAUUAAGUGAAAAAUGUAAGAUCUUCACUUGUACUGUGUCCAACCAAAUGUAUAUCCAGUCCAACAUCUUGGACUCUAAUGGCAAAAUAGUUGCCUUUGAGAAGUCUACUUGAGCAUAAGUAGACCCUUUUACUUGUAUUCCACAGCAACUGGUAUGUAGAGGUAUAUUGUCUUCAAUACUGCCAAUAUGACUAGUAUCCAUUAAUAUUCACACCCUCUAGCAACUCUUGAAGAAGCUUGCAAUUUUUAAUUUCUGCCCUGGGGAAACUCAAGAAUCCUUUGUCCCCACAUGUUACCAGCAUGAUUUUUAUUUUAGUAGCAUAAAAUUUUCUUUGAAACAAACUAAAUAGACAAAGCUAUGGGUGCCAACACUUCUUAGAAUUUGUAGAGCUAGGUAAAUGCUUGGAAAUAUCUUCCUAACAUAGAGAGAAGGGCAACCAACCAUUUGAUAUAAGGAAACUGAAAAUCCUGUUUAUCCAAACUUUCUUUUUGUUAAAAAAGACCUAACAUUAUAAUAGAGGUUGUGGGGGUCUGUUUCCCUUCAAAUUGUGUUGGGCUAUAACUAUAACCAUCCUAGAACAUUACUUAUGUUGAUGGGAGUUAGAGUUCACAACUUCCGGAGUGCCACAAACUCCUUACUCCUUGAUUAGAAUAACCAAUGACCUGUAUCUACUCCAUCUCAAACCUUUAACUUCUUUCCUAUAUUGAAUAUAUGUGUUAACAUGUGAAUGUUAUACCUCAAUUAUAGCUUUUAGGCUAGACUGGUAGCCUCGUCUGGGGCCACUACUGAACUGAAAGAAAAAAACCUGACUGGAAGUAGUCCAAGUCCUAAAAUGUAUCCAUAUUUGAUGUAAGCACUCAAAUAGGCAUAUGAUGUUUUAGACUUUUAUCAUAAAGCAUUUUAUUUCAUUUUGAUCACUCCAUCUCAUAAUUUACUGCAUCAUUUUGAUAUUAGGAGAGCACUGAAAUGAACAAAAAUGAGAUAAAGUGGAUGUAGUAUUUUACAAAUGCAUUGCAGAGGUCACUGUUAACACUGGUCAGCAGUACAUGAAUAAGCUGUGAUGUUAGUUUACUUCCAAAAUCAUUUUUCUUUUUAGUUGUCAUUUUGUCUUGUACUGUAAAUUUAACUGUGAACUUCUUUGUCUCAGGAGCUAAGAGAAAGCUGAAAGCAGUGUAAUGCCUGUGUGAUGUCUUGGAAAGUAUUUUUCUCGGCAUAGUUUUGUGCUGUUCAUUUGUAAAUGCUCCUGCUCCUGGUGAAAUGCUAUUUCAUGUUACAUGUCAUUUAGUGCUUUAAUAUGAAGAGAUGUAGAAUUGUAAUAAACUAUUAGAAACAUG